rnacentral:rRNA from 1 species
UUAAGCGACUAAGCGUACACGGUGGAUGCCCUGGCAGUCAGAGGCGAUGAAGGACGUGCUAAUCUGCGAUAAGCGUCGGUAAGGUGAUAUGAACCGUUAUAACCGGCGAUUUCCGAAUGGGGAAACCCAGUGUGUUUCGACACACUAUCAUUAACUGAAUCCAUAGGUUAAUGAGGCGAACCGGGGGAACUGAAACAUCUAAGUACCCCGAGGAAAAGAAAUCAACCGAGAUUCCCCCAGUAGCGGCGAGCGAACGGGGAGGAGCCCAGAGUCUGAAUCAGUGUGUGUGUUAGUGGAAGCGUCUGGAAAGGCGCGCGAUACAGGGUGACAGCCCCGUACACAAAAAUGCACAUACUGUGAGCUCGAUGAGUAGGGCGGGACACGUGGUAUCCUGUCUGAAUAUGGGGGGACCAUCCUCCAAGGCUAAAUACUCCUGACUGACCGAUAGUGAACCAGUACCGUGAGGGAAAGGCGAAAAGAACCCCGGCGAGGGGAGUGAAAAAGAACCUGAAACCGUGUACGUACAAGCAGUGGGAGCCUCUUUUAUGGGGUGACUGCGUACCUUUUGUAUAAUGGGUCAGCGACUUAUAUUCUGUAGCAAGGUUAACCGAAUAGGGGAGCCGAAGGGAAACCGAGUCUUAACUGGGCGUUAAGUUGCAGGGUAUAGACCCGAAACCCGGUGAUCUAGCCAUGGGCAGGUUGAAGGUUGGGUAACACUAACUGGAGGACCGAACCGACUAAUGUUGAAAAAUUAGCGGAUGACUUGUGGCUGGGGGUGAAAGGCCAAUCAAACCGGGAGAUAGCUGGUUCUCCCCGAAAGCUAUUUAGGUAGCGCCUCGUGAAUUCAUCUCCGGGGGUAGAGCACUGUUUCGGCAAGGGGGUCAUCCCGACUUACCAACCCGAUGCAAACUGCGAAUACCGGAGAAUGUUAUCACGGGAGACACACGGCGGGUGCUAACGUCCGUCGUGAAGAGGGAAACAACCCAGACCGCCAGCUAAGGUCCCAAAGUCAUGGUUAAGUGGGAAACGAUGUGGGAAGGCCCAGACAGCCAGGAUGUUGGCUUAGAAGCAGCCAUCAUUUAAAGAAAGCGUAAUAGCUCACUGGUCGAGUCGGCCUGCGCGGAAGAUGUAACGGGGCUAAACCAUGCACCGAAGCUGCGGCAGCGACGCUUAUGCGUUGUUGGGUAGGGGAGCGUUCUGUAAGCCUGUGAAGGUGUGCUGUGAGGCAUGCUGGAGGUAUCAGAAGUGCGAAUGCUGACAUAAGUAACGAUAAAGCGGGUGAAAAGCCCGCUCGCCGGAAGACCAAGGGUUCCUGUCCAACGUUAAUCGGGGCAGGGUGAGUCGACCCCUAAGGCGAGGCCGAAAGGCGUAGUCGAUGGGAAACAGGUUAAUAUUCCUGUACUUGGUGUUACUGCGAAGGGGGGACGGAGAAGGCUAUGUUGGCCGGGCGACGGUUGUCCCGGUUUAAGCGUGUAGGCUGGUUUUCCAGGCAAAUCCGGAAAAUCAAGGCUGAGGCGUGAUGACGAGGCACUACGGUGCUGAAGCAACAAAUGCCCUGCUUCCAGGAAAAGCCUCUAAGCAUCAGGUAACAUCAAAUCGUACCCCAAACCGACACAGGUGGUCAGGUAGAGAAUACCAAGGCGCUUGAGAGAACUCGGGUGAAGGAACUAGGCAAAAUGGUGCCGUAACUUCGGGAGAAGGCACGCUGAUAUGUAGGUGAAGUCCCUCGCGGAUGGAGCUGAAAUCAGUCGAAGAUACCAGCUGGCUGCAACUGUUUAUUAAAAACACAGCACUGUGCAAACACGAAAGUGGACGUAUACGGUGUGACGCCUGCCCGGUGCCGGAAGGUUAAUUGAUGGGGUCAGCGCAAGCGAAGCUCUUGAUCGAAGCCCCGGUAAACGGCGGCCGUAACUAUAACGGUCCUAAGGUAGCGAAAUUCCUUGUCGGGUAAGUUCCGACCUGCACGAAUGGCGUAAUGAUGGCCAGGCUGUCUCCACCCGAGACUCAGUGAAAUUGAACUCGCUGUGAAGAUGCAGUGUACCCGCGGCAAGACGGAAAGACCCCGUGAACCUUUACUAUAGCUUGACACUGAACAUUGAGCCUUGAUGUGUAGGAUAGGUGGGAGGCUUAGAAGUGUGGACGCCAGUCUGCAUGGAGCCGACCUUGAAAUACCACCCUUUAAUGUUUGAUGUUCUAACGUUGACCCGUAAUCCGGGUUGCGGACAGUGUCUGGUGGGUAGUUUGACUGGGGCGGUCUCCUCCUAAAGAGUAACGGAGGAGCACGAAGGUUGGCUAAUCCUGGUCGGACAUCAGGAGGUUAGUGCAAUGGCAUAAGCCAGCUUGACUGCGAGCGUGACGGCGCGAGCAGGUGCGAAAGCAGGUCAUAGUGAUCCGGUGGUUCUGAAUGGAAGGGCCAUCGCUCAACGGAUAAAAGGUACUCCGGGGAUAACAGGCUGAUACCGCCCAAGAGUUCAUAUCGACGGCGGUGUUUGGCACCUCGAUGUCGGCUCAUCACAUCCUGGGGCUGAAGUAGGUCCCAAGGGUAUGGCUGUUCGCCAUUUAAAGUGGUACGCGAGCUGGGUUUAGAACGUCGUGAGACAGUUCGGUCCCUAUCUGCCGUGGGCGCUGGAGAACUGAGGGGGGCUGCUCCUAGUACGAGAGGACCGGAGUGGACGCAUCACUGGUGUUCGGGUUGUCAUGCCAAUGGCACUGCCCGGUAGCUAAAUGCGGAAGAGAUAAGUGCUGAAAGCAUCUAAGCACGAAACUUGCCCCGAGAUGAGUUCUCCCUGACCCUUUAAGGGUCCUGAAGGAACGUUGAAGACGACGACGUUGAUAGGCCGGGUGUGUAAGCGCAGCGAUGCGUUGAGCUAACCGGUACUAAUGAACCGUGAGGCUUAACCUU